rnacentral:rRNA from 1 species
UACGAAGGGUGCAAGCGUUGUUCGGAAUCACUGGGCGUAAAGCGCGUGUAGGCGGUUUGAUAAGUCGAAUGUGAAAGCCCGAGGCUCAACCUCGGAAGUGCAUUCGAAACUGUCAGGCUUGAGUACGGGGGAGGGAAGUGGAAUUCCUGGUGUAGAGGUGAAAUUCGUAGAUAUCAGGAGGAACACCGGUGGCGAAGGCGGCUUCCUGGACCGAUACUGACGAUGAGACGCGAAAGCGUGGGGAGCAAACAGG